rnacentral:rRNA from 1 species
AUUGAACGCUGGCGGCAGGCCUAACACAUGCAAGUCGAGCGCGCGGCGGACGGGUGAGCAAUGUCUGGGAAACCGCGUGACGGAGGGGGAUAACAACUCGAAACGGCAGCUAAUACCGCAUCCCAUCAGAUGUCACCAGAUGGGAUUAGCGAGUAGGUGGGGUAACGGCCAACCAAGGCGAAGAUCCCUAGCUGGUCUGAGAGGAUGACCAGCCACACUGGAACUGAGACACGGUCCAGACUCCUACGGGAGGCAGCAGUGGGGAAUAUUGCACAAUGGGCGAAAGCCUGAUGCAGCCAUGCCGCGUGGGUGAAGAAGGCCUUCGGGUUGUAAAGCACUUUCAGCGGGGAGGCGUUACCCGCAGAAGAAGCACCGGCUAACUCCGUGCCAGCAGCCGCGGUAAUUC